rnacentral:snRNA from 1 species
UUCGCUUCUCGGCCUUUUGGCUAAGAUCAAGUGUAGUAUCUGUUCUUAUCAGUUUAAUAUCUGAUACGUCCUCUAUCCGAGGACAUUAUAUUAAAUGGAUUUUUGGAGCUGGGAGUCGGAAUAGGGGCUUGCUAAUAAAAAAAAAAAAAAGUCUUUCAUGCCAGAGGCUCUGAGCUCCCAGGUUCAAUCUCCACCAUAAGCUGGAGCUGAACAGUGCUC